CACCGAAAGACUAAGGUUUCCUCAGCCAUGCUAAUCAGCUGAGGGUUAGUCGGGACCUAACGCGAACCCGAAAGGGGUAGUGGAUGGACAAUGGGUUAAUAUUCCCAUACUUGCUCACACUAAAAAGGGGACGGUUCAAUGUAGCUACUGGAGACUGACGGAAGUGUCAAGGCCUAGCCUUCGGGCGAAGCUGCUGUAGUGUAAUCGGAUCCAAGAAAAGCCGAAGUGAAGCAACCCGUACCAAAACCGACACAGGUGGUCGAGGAGAGAAUCCUAAGGUGCUCGAGUGAGUCGUGGCUAAGGAACUAGGCAAAAUAGUCUCGUAACUUCGGAAGAAGAGACGCCAUCAGCAAUGGUGGCCGCAGUGAAGAGGCCCAGGCGACUGUUUAUCAAAAACACAGGACUCUGCUAAAUCGAAAGAUGCUGUAUAGGGUCUGACACCUGCCCGGUGCUGGAAGGUUAAGGAAGGGCGUUAGCGUAAGCGAAGCGUUUGACUGAAGCCCCAGUAAACGGCGGCCGUAACUAUAACGGUCCUAAGGUAGCGAAAUUCCUUGUCGGGUAAGUUCCGACCUGCACGAAUGGUGUAACGAUCUGGGCACUGUCUCAGCCACGAGACUCGGUGAAAUUGUAGUAUCGGUGAAGAUGCCGAUUACCCGCAAUGGGACGAAAAGACCCUGUGAACCUUUACUAUUACUUCGUAUUGACUUUGAGUAAGUAAUGUGUAGGAUAGGUGGGAGGCUUUGAAGCUGGCACGCCAGUUGCGCUGGAGCCGUCCUUGAAAUACCACCCUUGUAUGUUUGAUGUUCUAACGCAGGCCCCUGAAUCGGGGUCGCGGACAGUGCCUGGUGGGUAGUUUGACUGGGGCGGUCUCCUCCCAAAGAGUAACGGAGGAGCACGAAGGUUGGCUAAUCCUGGUCGGACAUCAGGAGGUUAGUGCAAUGGCAUAAGCCAGCUUAACUGCGAGACGGACAGGUCGAGCAGGUACGAAAGUAGGUCAUAGUGAUCCGGUGGUUCUGAAUGGAAGGGCCAUCGCUCAACGGAUAAAGGUACUCCGGGGAUAACAGGCUGAUACCGCCCAAGAGUUCAUAUCGACGGCGGUGUUUGGCACCUCGAUGUCGGCUCAUCACAUCCUGGGGCUGAAGUAGGUCCCAAGGGUAUGGCUGUUCGCCAUUUAAAGUGGUACGCGAGCUGGGUUUAGAACGUCGUGAGACAGUUCGGUCCCUAUCUGCCGUGGGCGUUGGAAGAUUGAGAGGGGUUGCUCCUAGUACGAGAGGACCGGAGUGAACGCACCACUGGUGUUCGGGUUGUCAUGCCAAUGGCAUUGCCCGGUAGCUAAGUGCGGAAAAGAUAAGCGCUGAAAGCAUCUAAGCGCGAAACUUGCCUCAAGAUGAGUCUUCCCUGGGCCUUCAAGGCCCCUGAAGGAACGUUUAAGACUAAGACGUUGAUAGGCUGGGUGUGUAAGUGCAGCGAUGCAUUGAGCUAACCAGUACUAAUGAUCC
rnacentral:ncRNA from 1 species